rnacentral:rRNA from 1 species
UAGGGAAUCUUCGGCAAUGGGGGCAACCCUGACCGAGCAACGCCGCGUGAGUGAAGAAGGUUUUCGGAUCGUAAAGCUCUGUUGUAAGAGAAGAACGUGUGUGAGAGUGGAAAGUUCACACAGUGACGGUAACUUACCAGAAAGGGACGGCUAACUACGUGCCAGCAGCCGCGGUAAUACGUAGGUCCCGAGCGUUGUCCGGAUUUAUUGGGCGUAAAGCGAGCGCAGGCGGUUUAAUAAGUCUGAAGUUAAAUGCCGUGGCUUAACCAUUGUUUGCAUUGGAAACUGUGAAACUUGAGUGCCGAAGGGGGGAGUGGAAUUCCAUGUGUAGCGGUGAAAUGCGUAGAUAGAUGGAGGAACACCGGUGGCGAAAGCGGCUCUCUGGUCUGUAACUGACGCUGAGGCUCGAAAGCGUGGGGAGCAAGCAGG